UGGGUAACCUGCCUCAAAGAGGGGAAUAGCCUCCCGAAAGGGAGAUUAAUACCGCAUAAUAUGUUUAAGUCGCAUGACUUUAACAUCAAAGGAUUUUCUUUUAAGAAAUUCCACUUUGAGAUGGACCCGCGGCGCAUUAGCUAGUUGGUGAGGUAACGGCUCACCAAGGCAACGAUGCGUAGCCGACCUGAGAGGGUGAUCGGCCACAUUGGAACUGAGACACGGUCCAGACUCCGUAGGGAGG
rnacentral:rRNA from 1 species